UACCCAGGGAUGUAAGAAGCUGGACCAAGGCAUGAACGAAAUACAAAUUAAUGAUAACGGUAACAACAACAACAAGGAAAUAGGGUCAGUCAAUAAUUCACUCAGAGAACGAGAUGUACCAAACAAGUACUAGCUGCACCAAAGAAUGUCAAAAACACAGCUCACCGCCGCCACCGCCAGCAGCAAAUAAUGGACAUUCCCGGUGAGCUCACAAAAUCUCCUGCAAGAAUCACCUGCCGUUUUACUUCCAUGUCCGAGUCACACUUCAACUUUCAGCGUGGAGCUUGGACACACGGAGCACGGCUGCCCCAAACUAGAUCAAGAAAAGCCAGUCGAGAACUGAAAUGCCCCUCAUCGUUUCUCACAGGCACUGAGUAUUUUGGAAAACGGAAUGACUGGAAAGUGAUUUAUUAACAGAGUAAUAAUCUUUGUCCAACUAAUGGCUCUGUUGUAAGUGACAAGUACAAUGGAAAUCACGGAGAAGGACUUUCUGGAGAAUCGACAGACAUGCAAGCAUGAAGACAAGACAACAGUAAAGUAUGACUUAAAUGGUCUCAAAAUAUAAGGAAAAGGAAAGUAUUUACAGUCAGUUCCACAUGGCAUCACCUGUAAUUAAUCCGAUAGCAUCGAGGAGAAAAAAGACGCAAAGAACACACUUAAAUUUAACCUGUGUUGACAUCAACAAAUGUGUUCAUUAAAAUGUAAUCAAAUGCUGUGUCAUUGUCCAUGGAGAGAAUGCAAUAACCAGCUUUGAUUGCAUUUUAAUAGGGCUAUUAGUGUAACUCAGAGUGCUACAACUCACCACAGCUGGUGUAAACACGUAAUAUCGCUCUUUUACAGUGUGGAUAGGAGUAUGGGACAGGCUGGGGCCGAGCGGGAUGGACGUACAACGGGGUGGGGGGCGAGGGAGGUGUCGCAGGAGCCAAAACCCCGUUGUCUGCAUUUUUUUCCCCUCAGCCAAGAUCUUUUGUUCCAUGACCCCUGCAAAGCUCUGCUGGAGGGCCUAGUCCAUGUUCUUCCUCCUCCUCACAUACUGCCUCUGUGGUUCAGUGCUGUGAAGGAGGGGUUCAGCGGGCGUUCGGCUCCACGGUGACAAACAUUAUCUGGACCACAGUCUGCCCUUCUGUGCACGCCUUGGCAGGAGAGCAGGUGGCACAGUGGUGCAGCAACCCUGGCGUGGCACACAGAACAUGAAAGAAGAAGCACCACCAACCACUGCUGUGGUUUUGGCAAAAUCAGAAGGACACUGACGGCAGUGAUUCAGCAGGGAGGAAGUGUGGUCAGACUGUACCGCCUCAAAGUGCAGCCCUCACAGUGACUAAUUUCCGGGAGAAAUGGAGGCCCACCUUCAUAUGGGCCAGAACAUCACAUCUUCACUUUCUGAUAAGGGCCCUCCAAAAAGUACGACUAUGGACGCCCGUCCCAAAUUGACGGAACUCCUGCUGACGACCAGCAGCCGCGAACUACAGCAGCAGCAGCAGAGCAGCCGGGUGGCUCCCAGUGGGAUUACCAUGGUGAGGAAGACCAUCACAGCGCACCCACAGGCCCUUUCCAACAGAAACGCACACCUCUGUCCCUGCAUGGGCAAAAUAUCCAUUUCGGGGGAGAUCCUUGAACAAUAUGCAUUAUGCUUAACAUGGAGCUACAAAUGGAAAUCAAAAAACAAUCUAUUAUUAUGUUGUCAUCAAAACCUUUAGACCCUUAGUACUGAUAAGCAUGAUAAACAUUGUAAAUACUGACUCGUUUCAGUAUCCAAUCAGCAGAGAGCGAAUUUCGUCCUUUUUCUCCCUCUUUACGAUUUCCC